NNNNNNNNNNNNNNNNNNNNNNNNNNNNNNNNNNNNNNNNNNNNNNNNNNNNNNNNNNNNNNNNUCUCUGCCAGAGCCUCGGCCGGGGCUCUCAGCAGGCGCUGGAAGAGGCUCUCCCUGCCCUCCGGCCGCUCCUGGCACUCGAAGGUGACAGCCGUGCCCUCGCCCGCCCUCAUCUCCCUGGAGAAGCCAUCCGAGGUGCCCGCGAAGCAGCGGCCGAUGGCGAUUUCCUUGGCCAGCCGCGGGUUCUGGUCCGUCACGGUGUAGAUGCCGUAGUUGUGGCCCAGCGGGUCCAGCGGGGCCAGCAUGGAGAAAGCCCCGGUGUGGUUGUUGUCGGCCAGCGGAGGGUGGCGGCUCAGGUAAUCCCGCAGCAGCGCGUUGAUGGCCGUGCGGCGACAGCUGCCCUGGGGCACCACGGACACCAGGGUCCUGUCAGCCAGGCUCUGGUCGAAGAGCAUCCCGCCGCACUUGAACUCCACGCAGGCUCCCGAGGUGUCAUCCAGCAGAGGGUCCCGCACGCUCCGGCUGUCCCGCAGCCCGUAGAGCUGGCCCCGAGUGCGGGGGUGGCUGCCUCCGACAUUCCUCGACCUCACCAUGUACUCCCGCGGCCCCUCCAGCCGCACCUUGAUGAAACACGCCCGGAACUCCUGCGGGUUGGGCCACCACGCCAGGUAGUCACCGGUCCAGGAGGUGACAUCGCUCUCUUUAAAGGGCACCACGUUGUACUCGUACUUGUCCACCUCCACGCGGUAGAAGCGCAGGUGGUUGGCGCUCACCGGCGCCUCCUCGCACUCCCGCAGGCUCCGGUAGGAGUAGACGGGGCCGUUGUUCUCGUCCGCGUUGUCGGGGUCGGGUUUGGCCACGUUGAUCUGGAACGCCGUCUUCUUCAGCGCCGCGUCCUCGUGGUCCGAGCGGCGGUAGCCCAGCUUGCCCAGGUAAGGCUGUGCCACCCCCACGGCGUUGGGGUUCAGCUUGGGGCUGGAGGCCACGGCUUCCAGCUCCUCUCCGCCCAGCGUGGCCGUCACCAGGGCCGCGUAGGCGUCGGGGCGCCGGGCAUCGCAGAAGGCGGGCAGGCAGGCGCCGUUGGGGCCGGUGACGGCGCUGUCGAAGCGGCCCCAGGCCCGUGGGUUGCUGGGGAAGCCGGGCUGAGGCUCCAGGUUGAUGAGAUUCACCACCACCCCUUCCAGCUGCUCGUAGGGGUUGAAUUUCUCGUUGCUGUAAGCCCUGACCUUGACGAAGCAGCGGCGAUCCUCGGGCACGUCCAGGUUGAAGAGGCGCCGCUCGCGGAUCUCCAGGUUGCCCACCAGGAAUGUCCUCUCCUCCCUUUUCCUCCUGUCGCCACCCUCAUCCGGCCGCAGCACCGCCUCCUCCUCCCCACAGGCCGCUCUCGGGGUUCAAGGACCACAGCUUCAUCUUCUGCAGGUGCUCGGCCAUCCACA
rnacentral:lncRNA from 1 species